ensembl:misc_RNA Metazoa_SRP Metazoan signal recognition particle RNA
GCUGGGCGUGGUAGUGAGUGCUUGUAGUCCCAGCUACUUGGGAGGCUGAGGUAGAAGGAUCAAUUGAGCCCAGGAGUUCAGGUGUGCAGUGAGUUAUGAUCGUGCCACUGCACUCCAGCCUGGGCAACAAAGUGAGACCUCAUCUUUA